UUAAUAGUAUUUUUUUAUCGUUUGUUUUCUUGAGAGGAAGAAGGCAAAAUGGAAGUCAAGAAGUAAGAAUGGACAUCAUGAAAACAUCAAUGGGUCGCUCAUUACAAGAUGAAGAAAAUCCAGCAGAACUGUGUGGAGCACUGAGGGCAUGGCAAAAUAAUGGAUCGUCAGUACCAGAUGGAUGUGUGAAGUUAAGCUGGCUGAAGAUCAGAUUUGGCUGCUAUGGACGUUCUAAGUGCAUCUACAGAGGAAGCUUAAUCUUUCCCAUCCCAGAUGGCUGUCUUGAAAAGG